ACCUGGCUCAGAAUCAACGCUGGCGGCGUGCCUAACACAUGCAAGUCGAACGAGAAAGUGGAGCAAUCCAUGAGUACAGUGGCGUACGGGUGAGUAACACGUGACUAACCUACCCUCGAGUGGGGAAUAACCUCGGGAAACCGGGGCUAAUACCGCAUAACAUCUUCGGAUCAAAUGCGUAAGCAGCUUGAGGAGGGGGUCGCGGCCGAUUAGCUAGUUGGUGAGGUAAUGGCUCACCAAGGCAAUGAUCGGUAGCCGGCCUGAGAGGGCGCACGGCCACACUGGAACUGAAACACGGUCCAGACUCCUACGGGAGGCAGCAGUGGGGAAUUUUGCGCAAUGGGGGAAACCCUGACGCAAGCAAACGCCGCGUGGAGGAGGAAAGCCCUUUGGGGCGGUAAAGCUCCUUUCGCAUCGGGACGAUUUAUGACGGGUACCGGAAGAAGAAAGCAACCGGCUAAA
rnacentral:rRNA from 1 species